rnacentral:rRNA from 1 species
AACGAACGCUGGCGGCAUGCCUAACACAUGCAAGUCGAACGAGAACUUCGGGUCUAGUGGCGCACGGGUGCGUAACGCGUGGGAACCUGCCCUUAGGUUCGGAAUCACUCCCCGAAAGGGGUGCUAAUACCGGAUAAUGUCUUCGGACCAAAGAUUUAUCGCCUUUGGAUGGGCCCGCGUUGGAUUAGCUAGUUGGUAGGGUAAAAGCCUACCAAGGCGACGAUCCAUAGCUGGUCUGAGAGGAUGAUCAGCCACACUGGGACUGAGACACGGCCCAGACUCCUACGGGAGGCAGCAGUGGGGAAUAUUGGACAAUGGGCGAAAGCCUGAUCCAGCAAUGCCGCGUGAGUGAUGAAGGCCUUAGGGUUGUAAAGCUCUUUUACCCGGGAUGAUAAUGACAGUACCGGGAGAAUAAGCUCCGGCUAACUCCGUG